CUGGGCUUGACAUGCUCGGAAUCCUGCGGAGAUGCGGGAGUGCCCGCAAGGGAACCGAGACACAGGUGCUGCAUGGCUGUCGUCAGCUCGUGUCGUGAGAUGUUGGGUUAAGUCCCGCAACGAGCGCAACCCUCGUCCUUAGUUGCCAGCAUUCAGUUGGGCGCUCUAAGGAGACUGCCGGUGAUGAGCCGGAGGAAGGUGGGGAUGACGUCAAAUCAUCAUGGCCCUUACGGGCUGGGCUACACACGUGCUACAAUGGCGGUGACAGUGGGCAGCCACUCCGCAAGGAGAAGCUAAUCCCCAAAAACCGUCUCAGUUCGGAUUGUCCUCUGCAACUCGAGGGCAUGAAGUUGGAAUCGCUAGUAAUCGUGGAUCAGCAUGCCACGGUGAA
rnacentral:rRNA from 1 species